rnacentral:lncRNA from 1 species
CUGAUGAAAAACUUAUAUGUACAGAAACUUAGCAAACAAGUCAUGCCACUGUACUCCAGCCUUGGCCACAGAGUAAGACCUUAUCUCUAAAAAUGUUUUUUAAUUAAAAAAAGGUAUAUUUCCUAUGUGACCAUUUCAGUAAUUAAUUUAUUAAGUUUAUUACCUACUAUGUGAAAUAAAAAAUUCAUUUUGUCUUAAGCUCUCGAUCAUUAAACUUCAGAGUCCACUUGUCAUCUGAAUACCUGUAGAUUUAGGGACUACCCAUAUUCAGCUUACGCAUGCCAUUCAGAUUUGAUAGGUUUUGAACAUGAUGCUGUUUGGACUUCUUGCAGGCUGAAGUGUUCUUCCCUUUUAGCGUGACUUCA